rfam:Camelus ferus unplaced genomic scaffold scaffold1792, whole genome shotgun sequence.
CAGAGGUACCAUACCACCCUGAACGCGUCUGAUCUCGUCUGAUCUGACGAAGCUAAGCAGGAUCGGGCCUGGUUAGUACUUGGAAUGGAGACGUACUAUAAUCUAGCUAUUUUACACC